CUGCAUUAUGGAUUAAUUUCUGUAUUCUCUUCCUCAAUGUACAAGUAAGGUGGCAGUUAUAUAAAAUCAUACACAAUAAAAUCAGGACUAUAAUAACAAAAGGAUAGAAGAAUGAUUUCAUUAUCUGGGAUCCAGUAGGGGACCAACCAGUAAAGCAUUGUACCAAUGAUGGGCUAAAUCAUUCUGAAUUUGUGAACUCACCUUAAGGAGUUCUCCUUUUAGGAUAUGUGUGGCUACCUGUGUGUGUUAUCUUUGGGAAAAAUAUAGUCCCCUGUGUAUGUGGGUGCCCACCAGGUUAAAUUCAUGGCACAGAGAUCAUAAACUGGUACUGGUAAUGUGUUAAAUUGACAAGCUAAUUUAACAUCCUUUGAUGAUGUAUGAUAUAGUGUAAAAUAGCA